AUGGGUAGUGAUGUGAUAACGGGGGGCUCGAUCCAAAAAUUCCCUGCAGCCGGCAAGCAGGAACCCACAGGUACACCCAAGGGUGGAGGGAUGAGUCAGACAAAGCCGUUGGAGAUGACGGUUCUUUCUGUGGAGAGCCCGGGUCGGGGCAGCCGCCGCGGGGGCAGCACACCUCAUCCCCACGCGGGGUUUCCGUUGGGGCCGCUGGACGUCGGGGCUGAGCAGCGGCUGUACGGAGCGGGAGAGGCACCGGCCAGAGAAACAGCUACUGGGAGAGACGAGCUCCAACUGCUGCUCUGGCCUCGCCUUCAGGCGCGGGGCAAGUGGGGACCAUAAAAAUCCCCGGCGAUGCCGAUGUUCGAACAGUUAAACAGCGAUUAAAGACACCAGCGCUACAAGACCUGGGCAUGUUAUUUCCAGAGAACAUGUCAGCAGCUGCUGAAUUCCUGCGUUUACUGCGCCGCGCUGGCAGGCUCGGAGGUCUUUACGGGAGCGGUGGCGUUAUAUUCAGCGUUAACUAGCGAGCCUCGCAGCUCCUGAGCUGCCUCCCAGCAGCCUCUGCUUCUCAGCCCCAUUUCUCGGAGCUGGGUAACGAGGCCCUUCCCGGGGCUUUCAGCGGCGCCAGAGCCCGCGCUGCUGGCGCGGGGUGUCACAGUGCGGCGGGGACGGUCACGCCAAGCGGAGCUGGAGCUGGCGGAGUCACCAACGUGGCAUCUCCUGGGGUCACGUACAACUCCCUGUAAUAACUAGUAAGUCUGUGGCGGUGCCAGUGUUGCCCUACAGCCCUGAAGACUUCAGUGGGGUUUUCUUUAAUUAGGUUUUCUUUAAAUAGGUUCUGACCCAGAAACUAAAAGGCGAUGGGACGGGGUGGAGGCCGAACCCCUCCAGCUCCUUGCUGGAGCUGCUGUGGCAGCUGGCGACCAGGACUCAUUUCAACCUUUUGACUCUGUCCCGGGCUGUAGCACUCGCUCUUCCUUUAGGCCAGCCUCUUCUGUCAGAAGCAGUACGGUUUGUGGCAGGGCUCUGUGUAUAUCCAGCGAGAAAAUUUCCUAUUUCUGUAGCUAUUCUUGCUCUGGAACCAAAACUACCCCAAAAGAAAGUCAGUAUGAGCAAAGGGAGGGGGAGCUUCAGCAACAGAUCCCAAACGUUUAUUCUAAAUAACUGUCGAGAAUCGAGUUGAAUGUGCUGAUAUGAAUUAUUAAUAAAACUGUCUAGGCUGG
rnacentral:lncRNA from 1 species